GACGAACGCUGGCGGCGUGCCUAACACAUGCAAGUUGAGCGACGAACCAGGGCUUGCGCGGGGGCAAAGAAGCGAACGGGUGAGUAACACGCGGGUAACAUCCGCCGAUAACCGGGACAACCCGAGGAAAAUCGGGCGCAUACCGGGGGUGCGCACUCCACUUCGGUGGAGGGCGUAGAGGAGGCUCCGGGGUCCGGAUCGGGAGCGCGGCGCGGCACCUUAGUUGGUUGGUGGGGUAACGGCUCACCAAGACCGCGAGGGGUAGCUGGUCUGAGAGGAGGAUCAGCCACACUGGGACUGGGACACGGCCCAGACGCCUGAGGGAGGCCGCAGUGGGGAAUCUGGCGCAACGCUCGAAAGCGUGACGCAGCAACGCCGCGUGUGGGAAGAAGGCCUCCGGGUUGUAAACACCUUCCAGGAGUGACGAAGGGUCGGCGGUUAAGAGCCGUCCGGACUGACGGUACCGCCACAAGAAGCCCCGGCUAACUACGUG
rnacentral:rRNA from 1 species